GUGUCAGCAGCCGCGGUAAUACGUAGGUGGCAAGCGUUGUCCGGAAUUAUUGGGCGUAAAGCGCGCGCAGGUGGUUUAAUAAGUCUGAUGUGAAAGCCCACGGCUCAACCGUGGAGGGUCAUUGGAAACUGUUAAACUUGAGUGCAGGAGAGAAAAGUGGAAUUCCUAGUGUAGCGGUGAAAUGCGUAGAGAUUAGGAGGAACACCAGUGGCGAAGGCGGCUUUUUGGCCUGUAACUGACACUGAGGCGCGAAAGCGUGGGGAGCAAACAGGAUUAGAUACCCCCGUAGUCC
rnacentral:rRNA from 1 species